rnacentral:tRNA from 1 species
GCGUCCGUAGCUCACCCGGAUAGAGCGACGGACUUCGAAUCCGUAGGUAGCAGGUUCGAGUCCUGUCGGACGCA